AAUGCCCAUCAAUGAUAGAUUGGAUAAAGAAAAUGUGGUACAUAUAAACCACGGAAUACUAUGCAGCCAUAAAAAGGAAUGAGAUUACGUCCUUUGCAGGAAUAUGAAUGGAGCUGGAAGCCAUUAUCUUCAGCAAACUAACACAGGAACAGAAAAGCAAAUACCUUGUCUUCUCACUUAGAAGUGGCAGCUGAAUCAUGAGAACACAUGGACACAUAGCGAGGAACAAUACACACUGGGGCCUGCCAGCCGGUGAGGACGGAGGGCAUUAGGAAGAAUAGCUAAUGGAUGCUGAGCUUAAUACCUAAGUGAUGGGAUGAUCUGUGUAGCAAACCACCAUGGGACACAUUUACCUAUGUAAGAAACCUGCACAUCCUGCACGUGUAUCCCUGAACUUAAAAUAAAAUUUGGAAAAAAAAAAAGAUUGCUAAAGGAAGUUCUUCAGGCUGUUGAAAAUGAUACCAGGUGGAAACUCACAACUACUGGAGGAAAGAGGAGCACCCAAAAUGGUAAACAUUGGUGUCCUGGAAGAACCAACACAAAAGGCUUAUUUCCUUUCAUCUGACUUGGAGUUCAACCAGUGCUAAAAACUUCUCCCUGAGGAGCAUUUCUGGAAAACAUUUACUGGCAAAUGUUUUAACAUUCCAGCUGCCUGAGGAAAUUAUUUACAGUUGGGGAAAACAAUAGACUAAGCAAAAUGAAUAAAAGGAAAAAGUGAGAAAUAAAAUGUCCAGAAGGGCUUUGAAAAGCUCCAACAUGAUUCUUCAUAAUCUAAAAGGACACCUGCAUGUGUAGGAUUGUAUGCAUUCCCCAAACAGUCGGAUUGCUUAGGAAAGACCUGAGAGGGCCUUAAGCUCUCACUUCUGUCUGACCUUGAGGCUCUGUGCAAGUAAGGGAAGCCCAUGGCAAAAUGGUAUACUGAUUGGCUGAAUGUUGAAGAUGUGUCCCAACAGCAACACAGAACUCCUUAGCAACAACUGAGAGAUUUAUUUGUUCCAGGCAAUUAAGGUAAUCUCUGUCCAAUUAUCAGCUGGCCUCUAAGCUAAUGGAGCUGAGACUUCAUUGAUAAAGAAUAUACACUCUGCAGAGUUACUUCAGGAAAGUCAGUAAACAAUAACUACCACAAUAAAUAGUGAAAACAGCCAAUCCUGAGGAAUGAUGAGAAUCUAAUUUCCAGAGUUACUACAUUAUAAUAUUUAAAUUGUCCAAGUUGCAAUAAAAAUAUAUGAGAAUUUCAAAGAAAUAUGAAUGUAUGGCUCUUACAUAGGAAAAGAAGUAAUCAGUAGAAACUGUCUCUGUGAAAACGUAGAUAUUUGGCUUACUGGAAAAAGACUUUAAAUAAGUGAUUUAAAAUACGUUCAAUGAACUGAAGGUAAAUAUGUGGUAUAUCCAUAGAAUUGAAUAUUAUGAAGACAUAAAAAAAGAUGAAGUGAGGUCCACUUUUGGCAUGACCACGUGAAGAACUCCACAGAUUUACUUUCCACGAAAACUAGUGGAAAUUAUAGAAGAACAAUAAUUUAAACUUUCUGAAAAUGGUCCUGGAGACAUGCAAAAUAUGAAGAAACAUUUGUUCAAGGAAAUCUAGUAGAGCUCAGUAAGAACAGUGAGAGUCUAUGGUGUUUGAACCAUAACCCAUUCUGUUCCUCCCCAUUCCCAAUGCAGGAAGAUGGAAACUUCACUCAGAUUGGUAGAGCUAAUGCACAAGGUUCCCCUUAUCCCCAGUUCCCAGUCAAGGAUUUAUAUUCCUAGGAGAGACACAGCAUCAGCAUUUUUCAUCCUACUACCAGCUACCUGCUGCUGAGGAUAAUAUCUGGGUAAGUGUAGCUGAGAAGCGGGCACUCUACUUUUCUACUUGAUCUCUACUCAUACAGUAGAAGCUCCAGCUUGGGUAUGGUGCUGCUGAAAAUACUGGGUCCCGAAUUGCCAUUUUCCCACCUGAUAAGACAGGGGUUCAUGUCAAGAGAAGCAAGCCUAAAGACCUAUGGCUACGGCCUAGCCCUUUCACUUAGCACUCAAAUUCUAGAUUGGGACUACUACUCAGAGAGAAGAACACCAUUACACAUCUACAUAUCUAGGAAAGUCAAUUAACUAAAAGUUGGAAAAAUACAAAGAGAUCCACAGAUAAACUAGUCAAAAUACUGAAAGCCAAAUACAUGGAGAAAAAUUUGGGAGCAACAAGGGUAAAGGGCCCAUCACUUACAAUAGAACCACAAUGAAAUAAACAGCUGGCUUUUAUUUAUUUAUUUAUUUAUUUUUUAGAGUCUCACUCUGUCGCCCAGGCUGGAGUGCAGUGGUGUGACCUUGGCUCACUGCAACCUCUGCCUCCUGGGUUCAAGCAAUUCUCCUGCCUCAGCCUCCCAAGUAGCUGGGAUUACUGGCGCCCGCCAGUACACCCAGCUAAUUUUUUUAGUAGACCCAGGGUUUCACCACGUUGACCAGGCUGGUCUCGAACUCCUGACAUCGUGAUUUGCCCACCUCGGCCUCCCAAAGUGCUGGGAUUACAGGCAUGAGGCACCGCGCCCGGCCAACAGCUGGCUUUUAAUCAGAAACAAUGGAGGGUGGAAAGUGAUGGGAUAGCAUAUUCAAAAAUGCCUAAUGAAGAAAAACAAAAUGUCAACCAAGGAUCCUAUAUCCAGCAAAGCUAUUUUUAAAAACAAAAGCAACAUAAGCACAUUCCCUGAGAGAAUUUUGCUAGCAGACCUGCCUUCCAAAAAAUACUAAAUGAAGUUCUUGAGCUGAAGGCAAGUGACCCCAGGCAAUAAUACCAAUAUAAAAAUACAAAGAAUAUCUAUAAAGAAAUUUUUAAUUAUAGAAGACAGUAUAAAUGCAUACAUUUCUCCUUUCUUGGCUGAUUUUAAAAGCAAUUGUAUAAAAAAGUGUACAAUUGUGAAAGUUGCCAUAAUCAAAAUGGAUUCAUUAAUAUUAAUGAAACCCUGACAAAUAGAGCCAGGAAAGGCCGUGAAGAGAGCGUUCUCAUGUUGGUAUAUCUGAUAACACAACUAUCACAAAAGUCUGCAGAAAGCAUUACAACUUCACACAAAAAAAUACCUCUACAGCGUCAUCUACCCAGCAACUACCUGUCUAACCUCAGACUGGCAUCAUUCUUGUUAUUAAUCUUUGUAGACAAGAAUAACUAUUUCAAAACAAUUAUGUAAUCCGUCUGAUUUUUUCCUUUAAAAGACUUUGUCUUUGUUCAUCUAAUUAAAUAUGCACAUUUUUUACUAUGGCAUGCAUAUUCCCAUUGCAAUGCUGUAUCCCCAAAUAAACAUCUUUUCUUUUAGAG
rnacentral:lncRNA from 10 species